UGCUCUUUUGAGUCACUGGGGGACUCAAACAAUUUCAGGACAAGCCUGAAGAUAAGGUUGACUAGGGAGGAUGAGGUGCAGAAGUGGCAGGAGGAUUUACAGGCGUCCUCGGGCUUGACCUGGCGAAAGUCAAAGACCUACCCAGAUGCUGGUCAUGGCUCUAACAAGUAUAGGGUUGACUUGAGGUGCCAACACAACACCCGCACCAGUACUGCCAAGAGUAGCAAAACACCUCCUGCCGUGCAUUUAUGUACCUGAUUCUGAAAAGACAGACGUAUAGUAAAGGGCAGAAGUCAAGCUGGUUGACUUUGUCCACACCAGGCUGGAGGCGCAUUACAUCUGCCGACUCACAGAUGUGGCCAACAACCGGGUCAGAGGAGAGGAGCGCACCGCAGGAGCAGUCGACUGUGGGGCGAUUGUGAAGGAGGAUGAGAUGAACUACACUGUGCCCAGCUCAACUGGUCCUGAGAGGUACCAUGUCAGUAUGGACAUUGGCUUUUGCUCAUGUCCAAAUGGGAUCUCUGGGCAACGUUGCAAGCACCAGGUCGCAGUCGAGAAGAUGUUCGAGCUCCAGGACACUUUCCUCACACCUCCACGAUCGCUACGAGGAAACUGUACCACGAGAUAGCCACUGGUGGAAUGGACUUUCCAGAGGACUAGUUUCAGUCAUUGCAGCUACCGCUGUCUUAUGAAGACACAGCAGGAAUCUCAUGUAGCGGACCCACACCUAGUGCCCUGGACCCUGUUAAGAUGCAGCCACCCCACUCUCAUGCACUCCCAGAAGGAAUUUCAUGUGAGUUUACACAGCAGUCAUCAUUGUCAUGUUUUACAGUUUUUGUAUUUGUGUUUGUAUCUAUUUUUGGUCAGUCUGUCUCUUGUUAGACAUUAAACUCUCCUUCAGGUGGAGGCGAUGCCCACACUGAGUUCUGUGAGGACAUUCCUCCAGAUGACACAUAUUCGGCGCACUAUGCAGACACAUCUGUACUGGAGGACGAGCUGGCACGUGUCUUCAAGUCACUCACACUCAAGCUGAGGGGUGACCCCAGCUUCAUAGCCCCUCUGACAUCAUUCAUUGCGUCCAGUGACAAAAUGGCCACGGACAGUGCACUACAAUCAGCCUUUUCAAUAUUUGGGAAGAGCCCAAUGGCCAUGGCCACUGGAUACCAAAGGACGAAGGGGUAUCUCCAGACGACUGCCCAAAUCUCGGUCCAGCCGACAGCAGUGGGGAGGAGGAAGACGCACCUGGGAGGUAGAAGGGCCUUGCCAUUGGGACGUCCCUCAAAAGCUUCCAGGGAGGACCACCCCUAUAAGAGGACAGGGAGGAAGCCAGCCGCUCCUCACAGCUUGGCUCACUGUGUGGAAGCCAAUAUGUCCCUAGGUGGAACACACUGAUGAAAUAUUAAUAAAAAUUUGAGAGUGCUAAUUUUUUCUACCCUUCUACCCAUGAUUGUGAUGCAGAAGUUGGACUGUGUAGGCCGUGUUCUAUAUAUAUCCAUGAUGCAGGCUACUAGUUUGACUUCAGAGUCUGAUCUGACUGAUUAUCCAGUUUUGCAAUGCUGUGCGGGCUGAUCUGAUCACCUACCACAAUUCAAAUAGCCUAGGUCUAAGCCAAGCACAUUAGAAUAAUUAUUCAAUAUAUAAAUAAGUUCUACAUAAUUAAAUUAUAGUAAUGCAAGUAAUUAUUCAAUAUAUAAAUAAUUUCUA